rnacentral:ncRNA from 2 species
AUUCAUCUUCGGGGCAGGGUGAAAUUCCCGAUCGGCGGUAAUAGAAGUUUGCAAUUCUGACCAUUCAAUUGGAGGACUAUGCAAAAUAACUUCUUAAGCCCGCGAGCUUGUUUAGAGCAGGAUUUGGUGCGAUUCCAAAGCCGACAGUAUAGUCUGGAUGGGAGAAGGUGAAG